AGAGUUUGAUCCUGGCUCAGAUUGAACGCUGGCGGCAUGCAAUACACAUGCAAGUCGAACGGCAGCGCGGGGCAACCUGGCGGCGAGUGGCGAACGGGUGAGUAAUAUAUCGGAACGUACCCAAGAGUGGGGGAUAACGUAGCGAAAGUUACGCUAAUACCGCAUACGAUCUAUGGAUGAAAGUGGGGGACCGCAAGGCCUCACGCUCCUGGAGCGGCCGAUAUCUGAUUAGCUAGUUGGUGAGGUAAAGGCUCACCAAGGCGACGAUCAGUAGCUGGUCUGAGAGGACGACCAGCCACACUGGAACUGAGACACGGUCCAGACUCCUACGGGAGGCAGCAGUGGGGAAUUUUGGACAAUGGGCGCAAGCCUGAUCCAGCAAUGCCGCGUGAGUGAAGAAGGCCUUCGGGUUGUAAAGCUCUUUUGUCAGGGAAGAAACGGCUCAAGCUAAUAUCUUGGGCUAAUGACGGUACCUGAAGAAUAAGCACCGGCUAACUACGUGCCAGCAGCCGCGGUAAUACGUAGGGUGCAAGCGUUAAUCGGAAUUACUGGGCGUAAAGCGUGCGCAGGCGGUUCUGUAAGUCUGUCGUGAAAUCCCCGGGCUUAACCUGGGAAUUGCGAUGGAGACUGCAAGGCUAGAAUCUGGCAGAGGGGGGUAGAAUUCCACGUGUAGCAGUGAAAUGCGUAGAGAUGUGGAGGAACACCGAUGGCGAAAGCAGCCCCCUGGGUCAAGAUUGACGCUCAUGCAC
rnacentral:rRNA from 1 species